AAGCAUAAAGACCAGCGGACCCAUU
rnacentral:rRNA from 1 species